rnacentral:lncRNA from 1 species
CAGAGGCUAAGUGUAUGCACUACCAUACACGAAACUAUGGAAUUUCAGUCGGCACUAUUUCAAUUGAACAAAAUAAACGAAACUAUUUCAAUUUCAUUCAGCACAGGGGGAGAGGAGGAAGGAGUCGGGGGGAGGUGCGCGGGGCAGGGGCGGCGGAGGGGGAGAGGAGGAAGGAGUCGUGGGAGUUGAGGCGGAAUUGGGCACCUGGAGGCCGCCGGGAGCUCGACGGCCCGUGGCGGCGCGAAUCGCUGCCGCUAGUUCGCCGCCGCGGCUGCGGUGCAGGUCGGGGGCGGGGCGGCGGCAGCGGAGGGACCGGAGGAGAAGGGAGGGGUUGCAUGAGGUGUUCGCCGACGACGAAUCGAGGUCGAGGGCGGCCGGAGCAGCGGGGACAGAGGCAGACCGGCGGAGUGGGGGUGCCGAGGUCAAGGGCGGCCGGAUCCGCGUUGGACGGGCCGAAGAGGCAACUGGAUCCACGGCGGCCGAGUCUGGUAGAUGGUGGGGAACAGCGGCGGCGGGCCAUUUCCUUCUCUUUUGGUCGCCGGCGGUUGUCGGGAAGGUGGGCUGUCGGCGGCGGGGGUUUGCGCGGGUGAAGAUUCACUGUCGGUUACCUUCGCGUGCAAAUAUACAUCACUUUGUCUCAGUUUUCUAUGGCAUGCUCUAAAAUUAUAGGGUACAGGAUAGUUAUACAUCUGUUGGAGUGGUGUUUUUGGCCCCUGUGCCUUGAAAAACGGUUUUUUGGCACAAAACUUAUUUUACAUCAUCUAUUGAAAAUGCUCUAAGUGAAGCAGUUGGGACUGUCGUGUUGUAUUUGUUCUUUUCCGUCCUUUGUCUAAACUCUGAAGCAAGUGAUGCCACAGUGCCACACAUUCAAUAAUUAACUUAAUGUAAACCCCCGAGGUGCAUGCGAUGGCAUUAAUAGAUAUCAGUUGUUUAGGACUUAGAUUUGUAUUAUAGCA